CAGCAGCCGCGGUAAUACGUAGGGUGCAAGCGUUAAUCGAAAUUACUGGGCGUAAAGCGUGCGCAGGCGGUUCUAUAAGACAGAUGUGAAAUCCCCGGGCUCAACCUGGGAACUGCAUUUGUGACUGUAGAGCUGGAGUGCGGCAGAGGGGGAUGGAAUUCCACGUGUAGCAGUGAAAUGCGUAGAUAUGUGGAGGAACACCGAUGGCGAAGGCAGCCCCCUGGGAUAACACUGACGCUGAGGCACGAAAGCGUGGGGAGCAAACAGGAUUAGAUACCCCCGUAGUCCCUGUCUCUUAUAC
rnacentral:rRNA from 1 species